rnacentral:snRNA from 1 species
AUGCUCACCUGACAGAGAGAUGGCAAGGCCCAGAAGACCUUUCUUAGGUCUUCUCCUGCAUCUCCUGCAGUCUGAUGUGCUAACCCUGGGACUUUCUCACAUAUAGGAAAUUCAACUGCACAAAUUUCUGGUAGUGGGGAACUGUGUUCAUAGUCUCCCC